UAAAAAAAGGUAAGCUACUAAGAGCGAAUGGUGGAUGCCUUGACUGGUAAAGGCGAUGAAGGACGUACUAGACUGCGAUAAGCUACGGGGAGCUGUCAAGAAGCUUUGAUCCGUAGAUUUCCGAAUGGGGCAACCCAAUGUAUAGAGAUAUACAUUACCUAUAUAGGAGCGAACGAGGGGAAUUGAAACAUCUUAGUACCCUCAGGAAAAGAAAUCAAUAGAGAUUGCGUCAGUAGCGGCGAGCGAAAGCGCAAGAGGGCAAACCCAGUGCUUGCACUGGGGGUUGUAGGACUGCAAUGUGCAAGAGCUGAGUUUAGCAGAACAUUCUGGAAAGUAUAGCCAUAGAGGGUGAUAGUCCCGUAUGCGAAAAACAAAGCUUAGCUAGCAGUAUCCUGAGUAGGGCGGGACACGAGGAAUCCUGUCUGAAUCCGGGUCGACCACGAUCCAACCCUAAAUACUAAUACCAGAUCGAUAGUGCACAAGUACCGUGAGGGAAAGGUGAAAAGAACUGAGGUGAUCAGAGUGAAAUAGAACCUGAAACCAUUUGCUUACAAUCAUUCAGAGCACUAUGUAGCAAUACAGUGUGAUGGACUGCCUUUUGCAUAAUGAGCCUGCGAGUUGUGGUGUCUGGCAAGGUUAAGCAAACGCGAAGCCGUAGCGAAAGCGAGUCUGAAUAGGGCGCUUAGUCAGAUGCUGCAGACCCGAAACGAAGUGAUCUAUCCAUGAGCAAGUUGAAGCUAGUGUAAGAACUAGUGGAGGACUGAACCCAUAGGCGUUGAAAAGCCCCGGGAUGACUUGUGGAUAGGGGUGAAAGGCCAAUCAAACUUCGUGAUAGCUGGUUCUCUCCGAAAUAUAUUUAGGUAUAGCGUUGUGUCGUAAUAUAAGGGGGUAGAGCACUGAAUGGGCUAGGGCAUACACCAAUGUACCAAACCCUAUCAAACUCCGAAUACCUUAUAUGUAAUCACAGCAGUCAGGCGGCGAGUGAUAAAAUCCGUCGUCAAGAGGGAAACAACCCAGACUACCAGCUAAGGUCCCUAAAUCUUACUUAAGUGGAAAACGAUGUGAAGUUACUUAAACAACC
rnacentral:rRNA from 1 species